GACGAACGCUGGCGGCGUGCUUAACACAUGCAAGUCGAACGGAAAGUCCCUGCUUUUGUGGGGUGCUCGAGUUGCGACCUGGUGAGUAACACUUGAGUAACCUGCCCUUGACUUUGGGAUAUCUUCAUGACACUUGGGCUAAUACCGGCUAGGAGCUCCUGCUUCAUGGUGGGGGUUGGAAAGUUUCGGCGGUUGGGGAUGGACUCGCGGCUUAUCAGCUUGUUGGUGGGGUAGUGGCUUACCAAGGCUUUGACGGGUAGCCGGCCUGAGAGGGUGACAGGCCACAUUGGGACUGAGAUACGGCCCAGACUCCUACGGGAGGCAGCAGUGGGGAAUAUUGCACAAUGGGCGGAAGCCUGAUGCAGCAACGCAGCGUGCGGGAUGACGGCCUUCGGGUUGUAAACCGCUUUCGCCUGUGACGAAGCGUGAGUGACGGUAAUGGGUAAAGAAGCACCGGCUAACUACGUG
rnacentral:rRNA from 1 species